GAUGAACGCUGGCGGCGUGCCUAAUACAUGCCAGUCGAGCGAACGGACGAGAAGCUUGCUUCUCUGAUGUUAGCGGCGGACGGGUGAGUAACACGCGGAUAACCUACCUAUAAGACUGGGAUAACUUCGGGAAACCGGAGCUAAUACCGGAUAAUAUUUUGAACCGCAUGGUUCAAAAGUGAAAGACGGUCUUGCUGUCACUUAUAGAUGGAUCCGCGCUGCAUUAGCUAGUUGGUAAGGUAACGGCUUACCAAGGCAACGAUGCAUAGCCGACCUGAGAGGGUGAUCGGCCACACUGGAACUGAGACACGGUCCAGACUCCUACGGGAGGCAGCAGUAGGGAAUCUUCCGCAAUGGGCGAAAGCCUGACGAAGCAACGCCGCGUGAGUGAUGAAGGUCUUCGGAUCGUAAAACUCUGUUAUUAGGGAAGAACAUAUGUGUAAGUAACUGUGCACAUCUUGACGGUACCUAAUCAGAAAGCCACGGCUAACUACGUG
rnacentral:rRNA from 1 species